rnacentral:lncRNA from 1 species
AUCUCUUCCGUCAAUUGUGCCUUCUCGACAUUGUGUACCACAACUCCUCUCCAAAUUUCUUGUUGAAGUCUAUUAAUUUCUUUCUUGGCCUUGUCAAGUUUCUUUUGAGCUUUUUGAAGUCUCUCUUCUCGAUCGACGGCCUCUCCUUCGAAGAAUUUAAGUUUUUUUUUUAGACUCUUGAUAUGAGCUUUGAUAUUAACCACC